rnacentral:rRNA from 1 species
UACAGAGGUCCCAAGCGUUGUUCGGAUUCACUGGGCGUAAAGGGUGCGUAGGUGGUCGGGUAAGUCUGAUGUGAAAUCUCCGAGCUUAACUCGGAAAUGGCAUUGGAUACUAUUCGGCUAGAGGGUUUGAGGGGGGACUGGAAUACUUGGUGUAGCAAUGAAAUGCGUAGAUAUCAAGUGGAACACCAGUGGCGAAGGCGAGUCCCUGGAAAACUCCUGACACUGAGGCACGAAAGCUAGGGGAGCAAACAG